rnacentral:rRNA from 1 species
GACGAACGCUGGCGGCGUGCUUAACACAUGCAAGUCGAACGAUGAAGCCGGAGCUUGCUCUGGUGAAUUAGUGGCGAACGGGUGAGUAACACGUGAGUAACCUGCCCUUGACUCUGGGAUAACUGCUAGAAAUGGUAGCUAAUACCGGAUACGACCCUCGGAGGCAUCUUCAGGGGGUGGAAAGAAUUUCGGUCAAGGAUGGACUCGCGGCCUAUCAGCUAGUUGGUGAGGUAACGGCUCACCAAGGCGACGACGGGUAGCCGGCCUGAGAGGGUGACCGGCCACACUGGGACUGAGACACGGCCCAGACUCCUACGGGAGGCAGCAGUGGGGAAUAUUGCACAAUGGGCGCAAGCCUGAUGCAGCAACGCCGCGUAAGGGAUGACGGCCUUCGGGUUGUAAACCUCUUUUAGUAGGGAAGAAGCGAAAGUGACGGUACCUGCAGAAAAAGCACCGGCUAACUACGUGCCAGCAGCCGCAGUAA